UACAGAGGUCUCAACCGUUGUUCGGAUUCAUUGGGCGUAAAGGGUGCGUGGGCGGUCGUGCAAGUCGGAUGUGAAAUCUCAGGGCUCAACCCUGAAACUGCAUUCGAUACUGCGUGGCUAGAGUGCUGGAGAGGAGACUGGAAUUUACGGUGUAGCAGUGAAAUGCGUAGAUAUCUGGAGGAACACCGGUGGCGAAGGCGGCAUCCUGGACCAACACUGACACUGAGGAGCGAAAGCCAGGGGAGCAAACGGG
rnacentral:rRNA from 1 species